GUCGGCGUAGCUCAGUUGGUUAGAGCGAAGGAAUCAUAACCCUUAGGUCGGAGGUUCGAAUCCUCCCGCCGACACAA
rnacentral:tRNA from 1 species